rnacentral:rRNA from 1 species
CGCGAAUGGCUAUUACAACAGCUAAAAUCUACUUGAUCUUGACACAAUCCUACUUGGAUAACUGUGGUAAUUCUAGAGCUAAUACAUGCAUUAAAGCUCUGACCUCACGGGACGAGUGCAUUUAUUAGAACAAAACCAAGCGGCUUCGGCUGUUUUCGGUUGACUCAUAGUAACUGAGCUGAUCGCACGGUCUUGCACCGGCGACGUGUCUUUCAAGUAUCUGCCGUAUCAACUUUCGAUGGUAGUGUAUCUGACUACCGUGGUGAUCACGCGUAACGGAGAAUAAGGGUUCGACUCCGGAGAGUUCGCCUGAGAAAUCGCGAACACAUCUAAGGAAGGCAGCAGGCGCGAAAAUUACCCACUCUCAGCACGAGGAGGUAGUGACGAAAAAUAACGAGACCGUUCUCUUUCGAGGCCGGUCAUCGGAAUGGGUACAAUUUAAACCCUUUAACGAGUAUCUAUGAGAGGGCAAGUCUGGUGCCAGCAGCCGCGGUAAUUCCAGCU